rnacentral:rRNA from 1 species
UUGAGAGUUUGAUCCUGGCUCAGAACGAACGCUGGCGGCAGGCCUAACACAUGCAAGUCGAACGAGAAGCUAUCUUCGGAUAGUGGAAAGUGGCAGACGGGUGAGUAACGCGUGGGAAUAUACCUAGAGGUACGGAACAACGCCGGGAAACUGGUGCUAAUACCGUAUGUGCCCUUCGGGGGAAAGAUUUAUCGCCUUUAGAUUAGCCCGCGUUAGAUUAGCUUGUUGGUGAGGUAAAAGCUCACCAAGGCGACGAUCUAUAGCUGGUCUGAGAGGAUGAUCAGCCACACUGGGACUGAGACACGG